GACAGAGGGCGCAAGCGUUGUUCGGAAUCACUGGGCAUAAAGCGCACGUAGGCCGUCCGCUAAGUCGGUCGUGAAAUCCCUGGGCUCAACCCAGGAAUUGCGUUCGAUACUGGCAGACUCGAGGACAGGAGGGGUAAGUGGAACUCCAGGUGGAACGGUGAAAUGUGUAGAUAUCUGGAGGAACACCGGUGGCGAAAGCGGCUUACUGGCCUGUCCCUGACGCUGAGGUGCGAAAGCUAGGGGAGCAAACGGG
rnacentral:rRNA from 1 species